rnacentral:lncRNA from 1 species
AGUUAAUCAGUUUAAGAUGUCAUGAAACAUUUAAUUUGAGAUGUUAACUAAAGACUGCUGUUAGCUUUUGGCAACGUGGAGGCCCUAAAGAAGAGCAUCUUCACCUGACAAGUGGGAUCAACAGUAGACUGCAGUGGGUUGAGGCACAAGUGAGAGAUAUGAGGUUGGGGGCAACAUUUAUUGGACUGACAACUUUUUCCAACAUGGAGCUGUGAAGGUUUGGAGGAAGCUGGGCACUAAGAAAUGUGCUAUGUUUUUGGCAGGAAGUCACUGGCUCCAUCACUGAGUGGUUCUUUGGUCCCAGCUGCAGGUUGAUUGAUGGCAUCACAUCGAAGAACACUCUGGGGGGAGCUGUUUAUCCCCAUCUUCCAUCUGGAGCUGCUGGGAUAGAGUUCACUGUGAUGAUGGCUACUGAAUGAGCUGCACUGGCAGGACCUCUGUGACAAGGAAGGAUUGCGGCUAGGGAGCCAGGCCCGAAUCAAAGGAUGUCAAGGAAAUGAAUGGAGCUAAGCAGGAAACAGCCAACUCUUCUCAAACAUGAUGGGGCAGCAAUUCAAAAAGAAAGAUGGUGCACAGCUUUUAAAACUACAAAAUGGGAGAAUAUUAUGUUCCUUUGUUCUUUCACUUACAGAGGUUACUUUAUAGAUAUGUGUUUCAGAUCAAAUAAACA